rnacentral:lncRNA from 1 species
CGCCCUGCCGACACCUGGCUCAGGGUGAGGCACGUCAUCACACGUCACUGAAUAGCGUCAUCGGUCGCGUCACUGCGUAAGGGGACGAGCCGGAGCGCCGGUUGGAGAAAGCCUCGUCUUUCUGCACUUAGUCGCUUGCCUGAUGGACAGUCAGCUACGUGCGAGAAGUUGGACGAGGAGAAUGGGCCAAGAGAGGCAUUACCAGCAUGAAGGUGCUACGAGGCCAGGCCUGAAAUACCACGACUCAGUUUCCUCCUUCUGUCAGUGGGAAGACGGAUACCCGACUUGCCUGCGCUAGAAAGAUUAAUAAUCUGAUUAUGGGGCUGGAGAGAUGGCUCAGCGGCUAAGAUUACUGACUGCUCUUCCGAAGGUCAUGGGUUCAAAUCCCAGCAACCACAUGGUGGCUUACAACCAUCCUCAAUGAGAUCUGUCGCCCUCUUCUGGAGUGUCUGAAGACAACUACAGUGUACUUACAAAUAAUAAAUCUUUUUAAAAUAUAA